UAAUUGAAGAGUUUGAUCAUGGCUCAGAUUGAACGCUGGCGGCAGGCCUAACACAUGCAAGUCGGGCGGUAACAGGGAGAAGCUUGCUUCUCUGCUGACGAGCGGCGGACGGGUGAGUAAUGUAUGGGGAUCUGCCUGAUGGCGGGGGAUAACUACUGGAAACGGUAGCUAAUACCGCAUAAUGUCUUC
rnacentral:rRNA from 1 species